CAAGUCGAAGAUCAGAUUGGCAUGGGUACCGUGCUCCUUAAUCAGCAUUCUCAGAUUCUCCAAGGCAUUCUGGACCCUGGAGAUACGAUGUGCUGGUGAGGAAACCCAAAGGAGCAGAAGGAGCUCCUCACCAGAAGUGGCUAGGUGCAGAUCCUCCAGCAAGAAGAGGAGGGAGGCUUUAGAAUCCUGGUGAUGCCCAGGCUGUGGGCUGGCUUGUGUUUGGCCCUGGAUUCCUCUGCUCAGCAGGAGACGGAGGUGGGUAGAACUGAAGGCAGGGUGGAUGGGGCUGUAUAUGUAAGGGUGAUGUGGCUCUACCAGCACCUCCACAAAGGCUGACUUCCCUGUUGCUGCCUCUCCAGCCAGCAACACUGGCUGUCCCCCCGACAGAAGCAGGUCCACCACAUACAAGAGCCGUUCAGUCUGCAAGAGAGAAGUGGGACUUACUGCAGCACCUCCAGUAUAAGACAGUAAUCUAGCUGAAAAUAAAAGUCUAGGGGACUUGUCCUAGAGCUGUACUUGGAAAACAUUUCAUGUAUUCUUGUGAUUGUGAAAAUAUAUCAAAGAAAGUGA